rnacentral:rRNA from 1 species
UAUAAUUUAAAGUAGGGCCUGCCCACUGAGUAAUUGAAGGGCCGCAGUAUUUUGACUGUGCAAAGGUAGCAUAAUCAUUAGUUUUUUAAUUGAAAGCUUGUAUGAAUGGUUUGAUGAAAAAAUAACUUUCUUUGAUUUAUUAAUAAUGAAUUUUAUUUUUAAGUUAAAAAGCUUAAAUAAUCAUAAUAGACGAGAAGACCCUAUAGAGUUUAAUUAUUAACAUUAAAAAAAUUUUUAGUAUUUUUAUAUUUUUUUAUUUUUAAUAAUUUGAUUGGGGUGAUUGGAAAAUUAAUUUAACUUUUUUUUAUUAUUAACAUUGAU